UACGUAGGGUGCGAGCGUUGUCCGGAAUUAUUGGGCGUAAAGAGCUUGUAGGCGGUUUGUCGCGUCUGCUGUGAAAAUCCGGGGCUCAACCCCGGACUUGCAGUGGGUACGGGCAGACUAGAGUGUGGUAGGGGAGACUGGAAUUCCUGGUGGUAGCGGUGAAAUGCGCAGAUAUCAGGAGGAACACCGAUGGCGAAGGCAGGUCUCUGGGCCACUACUGACGCUGAGAAGCGAAAGCAUGGGGAGCGAACGG
rnacentral:rRNA from 1 species